GGGACGGUAGCUCAGUGGGAGAGCGCCACCCCGACAAGGUGGAGGUCGCAGGUUCGAGUCCUGCCCGUCCCACCA
rnacentral:tRNA from 2 species